rnacentral:rRNA from 1 species
UACGUAGGCAGCGAGCGUUGUUCGGAGUUACUGGGCGUAAAGGGUGUGUAGGCGGUUGUUUAAGUUUGGUGUGAAAUCUCCCCGGCUCAACUGGGAGGGUGCGCCGAAUACUGAAUGACUAGAGUGCGGGAGAGGAAUGCGGAAUUCCAGGUGUAGCGGUGAAAUGCGUAGAUAUCUGGAGGAACACCGGUGGCGAAGGCGGCGAUUCUGGACCAAUAUUGACGCUGAGGAGCGAAAGCCAGGGGAGCAAACGGGAUUCAGAG